GGGGAGGCAGCAGUCGAGAAUAUUCGUCAAUGGGCGAAAGCCUGAACGAGCGACGCCGCGUGGGUGAAGAAGGGCUUAGGUCUGUAAAACUCUUUUCUAGGGGAGGAAUUUGCCGCAAGGCGAAUGACAGUACCCUAGGAAUAAGGAGGUGCAAAUUUUGUGCCAGCAGCCGCGG
rnacentral:rRNA from 1 species